rnacentral:rRNA from 1 species
UACGAAGGGUGCUAGCGUUGUUCGGAAUCACUGGGCGUAAAGCGUGCGUAGGCGGUUUCUUAAGUCUGAUGUGAAAGCCCGGGGCUCAACCCCGGAUGUGCAUUGGAUACUGGGAGGCUAGAGAUUGGGAGAGGAAAGUGGAAUUCCGAGUGUAGAGGUGAAAUUCGUAGAUAUUCGGAGGAACACCAGUGGCGAAGGCGACUUUCUGGACCAACACUGACGCUGAGGCACGAAAGCGUGGGGAUCAAACAGG